UUUUACAGUUGAGCGAUCGCCCCUAUCGCGGUUUUUACCGCCCUCGGGGAGGAAAGUCCGAGCUGCACUGAACCGGGAAAGUCGCUAACGGCGACCGCCUCCUUGUGAGGUAGGGAAAGUGCCACAGAGACGAUACUCGCUUCACUUCGGUGGAGCUAAAGGUGAAAAGUUGUCCGGUGUCCCUUCGCCUCGGCGGAGACGGCUACGGAUAAGGCUGCACGGCGACGUGCAUGUCCGGGUAAACCCUUUCCGCAGCAAGGCAGGAUGGGAGAUGUGGAGUUUCGUAGGUUCAGACGACCACACUGCCUGCCGCUAGAGUCUCACAGCAAUGUGAGAUCGAGAGAGAUGAUCGCACCCCACCUCGGUGGGGAACAGAACUCGGCUUAUGAUACUGUAGAAGAUC
rnacentral:RNase_P_RNA from 1 species